rnacentral:rRNA from 1 species
UACGUAGGGUGCAAGCGUUAAUCGGAAUUACUGGGCGUAAAGCGUGCGCAGGCGGUGAUGUAAGACAGGUGUGAAAUCCCCGGGCUUAACCUGGGAACUGCAUUUGUGACUGCAUCGCUGGAGUGCGGCAGAGGGGGAUGGAAUUCCGCGUGUAGCAGUGAAAUGCGUAGAGAUGUGGAGGAACACCGAUGGCGAAGGCAGCCCCCCUGGGUUAACACUGACGCUCAGGCACGAAAGCGUGGGGAGCAAACAGG